AGAGUUUGAUCCUGGCUCAGAAUCAACGCUGGCGGCGUGCCUCAGACAUGCAAGUCGAACGAUUAAGACUCCCUUCGGGGAGUGUAUAAAGUGGCGCACGGGUGAGUAACACGUAGGUAAUCUACCUUUGAGUGGGGAAUAACAAUCGGAAACGAUUGCUAAUACCGCAUAAUGCAGCGGCACCUUAUGGUGACAGUUGUUAAAGGAGCAAUCCGCUUAAAGAGGAGCCUGCGGCAGAUUAGCUUGUUGGUAAGGUAAUGGCUUACCAAGGCUACGAUCUGUAACCGACCUGGGAGGGUGGUCGGUCACACUGACACUGAAUAACGGGUCAGACUCCUACGGGAGGCAGCAGUCGGGAAUUUUGGGCAAUGGGCGAAAGCCUGACCCAGCAACGCCGCGUGAAGGAUGAAGUCUUUCGGGAUGUAAACUUCGUAAGAAUGGGAAGAAUAAAUGACGGUACCAUUUGUAAGGUCCGGCUAACUACGUGCCAGCAGCCGCGGUAAUACGUAGGGACCAAGCGUUGUUCGGAUUUACUGGGCGUAAAGGGCGCGUAGGCGGCAAAUCAAGUCAGCUGUGAAAUCUCCGAGCUUAACUCGGAACGGUCAGCUGAUACUGUUUUGCUAGAGUACAGAAAGGGCAACCGGAAUUCUUGGUGUAGCGGUGAAAUGCAGAUAUCAAGAGGAACACCUGAGGCGAAGGCGGGUUGCUAGGCUGAUACUGACGCUGAAGCGCGAAAGCUAGGGUAGCAAACGGGAUUAGAUACCCUAGUAGUCC
rnacentral:rRNA from 1 species